GACGAACGCUGGCGGCGUGCCUAAUACAUGCAAGUCGAACGAGAGCAACCGGUGCUUGCACUGGUCAAUCUAGUGGCGAACGGGUGAGUAACACGUGGGUAACCUUCCCAUCAGAGGGGGAUAACAUCCGGAAACGGAUGCUAAAACCGCAUAGGUCUUCGAACCGCAUGGUUUGAAGAGGAAAAGAGGCGCAAGCUUCUGCUGAUGGAUGGACCCGCGGUGCAUUAGCUAGUUGGUGAGGUAACGGCUCACCAAGGCCGUGAUGCAUAGCCGACCUGAGAGGGGGAUCGGCCACAUUGGGACUGAGCCACGGCCCAAACUCCUACGGGAGGCAGCAGUAGGGAAUCUUCCGCAAUGGACGCAAGUCUGACGGAGCAACGCCGCGUGAGUGAAGAAGGUUUUCGGAUCGUAAAACUCUGUUGUUAGAGAAGAACAAGUGCUAGAGUAACUGUUAGCGCCUUGACGGUAUCUAACCAGAAAGCCACGGCUAACUACGUG
rnacentral:rRNA from 1 species